rnacentral:rRNA from 1 species
GCGCGCAAUUACCCACUCUCAGAAUGAGGAGGUAGUGACGAGAAAUAACGAGACUGUUCUCUUUGAGGCCAGUCAUCGGAAUGGGUACAAUCUAAACCCUUUAACGAGUAUCUAUGAGAGGGCAAGUCUGGUGCCAGCAGCCGCGGUAAUUCCAGCUCUCAAAAUGCAUAAAAUUAUUGCUGCGGUUAAAAAGCUCGUAGUUGGAUCUGUGUCGCGAGGUUGGGUCCGUCUGUUAGGCGUGUACUCAAUUCUCCGACUUUUUGCUGGUUUUCCUGGCAUGGUUUUAAUCGAUUGGGUCAGGUGGCUGGCGAUUUUACUUUGAACAAAUCAGAGUGCUCAACACAGGCGUUUCGCUUGAAUGUUUUUGCAUGGAAUAAUAGAAAAGGAUUUCGGUCCUAUUUUAUUGGUUUUAUAGGCUGAAAUAAUGGUUAACAGAGACAAACGGG